rnacentral:tRNA from 1 species
GUCGCGGCCGGCCUGGGCCACGCCCGCCGCCUCGCGGGCGGUGACCGCGAAGCCGAUGUUCCGGUCGUCGGCCGCCGCG